CUUACAAGCUGUGGAAGCACAUUUCUUGUGUGACCGCGUACUUUUUGUAGAACGGGCCAACGAGUUACGUUAAGUAGCAAGGUUAAGCACUUAAGGUGCGGAGCCGUAGCGAAAGCGAGUUUUAACUGAGCGUUCAGUUACUUGACGUAGACCCGAAACCGGGCGACCUACCCAUGAGCAGGAUGAAGCGAAAGUAAAAUUUCGUGGAGGUCCGAACCCACGAGCGUUGAAAAGCUCGGGGAUGACUUGUGGGUAGCGGUGAAAUUCCAAUCGAGCCCGGAGAUAGCUGGUUCUCCCCGAAAUAGCUUUAGGGCUAGCCUCAAGGUGAGAGAUACGGAGGUAGAGCACUGAAUGUCCUAGGGGGUAUUGCACCUACCGAAGACUAUCAAACUCCGAAUGCCGUCAUCUUAUACUUGGGAGUCAGACUGUGGGUGAUAAGAUUCAUAGUCGAAAGGGCAACAGCCCAGAUCGUCAGCUAAGGUCCCUAAAUGUAAGUUAAGUGGUAAAGGAUGUGGGAUUGCACAGACAACCAGGAUGUUGGCUUAGAAGCAGCCACUCAUUCAAAGAGUGCGUAAUAGCUCACUGGUCGAGUGAUCCUGCGCCGAAGAUUUCCGGGGCUAAAACUUACUACCGAAGCUACGGCAUCAGUAAUGAUGGGUAGGGGAGCUUCCCAUACGGGUUGAAGCAUGACCGUAAGGACAUGUGGACAGUAUGGGAGUGAGAAUGUUGGCAUGAGUAGCGAGAUGUGGGUGAGAAUCCCACAGGCCGUAAACCCAAGGUUUCCAGGGGAAGGUUCGUCCGCCCUGGGUUAGUCGGGACCUAAGCUGAGGCCGAAAGGCGUAGGUGAUGGACAACAGGUUGAUAUUCCUGUACUACCGAUAACCGUUUGAGAGAAGGGAUGACACAGUAGGAUAAGCUAAGCACACUGUUGGUUAUGUGUGCCCAAGCAUUGAGGCAGUCAAAGUAGGCAAAUCCGCUUUGAUAAUGCUGGGAUGUGAUGGGGAGCGAAAUUUAGUAGCGAAGUAGCUGAUUUCACACUGUCAAGAAAAGUCUCUAUCGAGGUUAAAGGUACCCGUACCGCAAACCGACACAGGUGGGUGAGGAGAGUAUCCUAAGGCCAGCGAGAGAACUGUUGUUAAGGAACUCGGCAAAAUGACCCCGUAACUUAGGGAUAAGGGGUGCCACCAUCAGGUGGCCGCAGAGAAUAGGCCCAAGCGACUGUUUACCAAAAACAUAGGUUUCUGCUAAGUCGCAAGACGAUGUAUAGGAGCUGACGCCUGCCCGGUGCUGGAAGGUUAAGGGGAUCUGUUAGAGCAAUCGAAGCAGUGAACUUAAGCCCCAGUAAACGGCGGCCGUAACUAUAACGGUCCUAAGGUAGCGAAAUUCCUUGUCGGGUAAGUUCCGACCCUGUCUCUUAUACACAUCUGACGCUGCCGACGACUCCUUACGUGUAGAUCUC
rnacentral:rRNA from 1 species